rnacentral:antisense_RNA from 2 species
CUCUAUGGCGGCUGUGUACGGGCAGACUUCGGUCUGGCCGGGUUACCCUGCACCGGUUUCUCACCCUGUACACAGCUGCCACCCUU